rnacentral:rRNA from 1 species
GGGGAAUAUUGGACAAUGGAGGAGACUCUGAUCCAGCAAUUCUGUGUGCACGAAGAAGGUUUUCGGAUUGUAAAGUGCUUUCAGCAGGGAAGAAGGAAGUGACGGUACCUGCAGAAGAAGCGACGGCUAAAUACGUGCCAGCAGCCGCGGUAAUACGUAUGUCGCGAGCGUUAUCCGGAAUUAUUGGGCAUAAAGGGCAUCUAGGCGGUAUAUCAAGUCAGGGGUGAAAACUUACGGCUCAACCGUGAGCUUGCCUUUGAAACUGAGAUACUGGAGUACCGGAGAGGUGGGCGGAACUACACGAGUAGAGGUGAAAUUCGUAGAUAUGUGUAGGAAUGCCGAUGAUGAAGAUAGCUCACUGGACGGCAACUGACGCUGAAGUGCGAAAGCUAGGGGAGCGAAC